UUCAACGCGACGCUCCGACUCCUCAACAUGAAGGCGUUGGUGACUGUCAUUUUAUUGACCUCCUUUCUCGGUAAAGCGGCGCCUCAGACAUUGACACAGUCUCAGUUAUCGAUCACUAGAGGUCCGACAAAACCUGUGCACUUUUACUGUGAUGUUCAAGGAAUAGAUUUUGCGGAAGCUGUUAUCCAUUGGUACCGGCAGAGGCCGGGACAAGGCCUGCAGCGGCUAUUGUAUUUUAAGAGUUCAUCGGACACUCAGAAGGAUGUGUCCGACGAACGGAUAAUUGCGGGUAAAGUACCUGAGACUCAAUCGUGCACUCUGCUCAUGACGAAUAUCCGCGAGGAUGAUGCUGGCACCUACUACUGCGCUUACUGGCAACACAGUGACCGUGUGCGACGGGAAGCCAGUUCACAAACCCAACGCGUCUCGCGGUUAUCCAGCGCCGAAAGGGAUAAAUGCGAGGCCGUUUGUAUGCAUUGCUCCAGUGUCCCCGGACUGCACGAGGUUGAGUUGAAAAUGAUGGGGUGGACAGAGGGAUUUCUCGGUCGGUGGGGAACGGAAUCUCCGCAGUCCGUUAAGGAAGAGCAAGGUGCCACUCGGAGGCUGUGGACACCGCGCUGGAACACGGCGCUGGGGGAGAUCAGCCGUGAUCUUGAUGAACGAUGA